rnacentral:tRNA from 1 species
GCCCUGAUGGUCUAGCGGUAUGAUUCUCCCUUAGGGUCUGCUCGGCACGUUUGGGAGAGGUCCCAGGUUCGGAUCCUGGUUAGGGCC